UACGGGGGGGGCAAGCGUUGUUCGGAAUUACUGGGCGUAAAGGGCGCGUAGGCGGCCUACUAAGUCGGACGUGAAAUCCCUCGGCUCAACCGAGGAACUGCGUCCGAUACUGGUGGGCUUGAAUCCGGGAGAGGGAUGUGGAAUUCCAGGUGUAGCGGUGAAAUUCGUAGAUAUCAGGAGGAACACCGGUGGCGAAAGCGGCUCCCUGGCCCGAUACUGACGCUCAUGUACGAAAGCGUGGGGAGCAAACAGG
rnacentral:rRNA from 1 species